AGAGUUUGAUCCUGGCUCAGGAUGAACGCUGGCGGCGUACCUAACGCAUGCAAGUCGAACGGGGAAAUUUAGCAAUAGAUUUUCCAGUGGCAAACGGGUGAGUAACACGUAGGGAUCUACCUUGGGGUGGGGAACAACGGACCGAAAGGUUCGCUAAUACCGCAUGGGGUCGUGAGACCAAAGGAUUUUCGCAAGAGAAUUCGCCCUGAGAGGAGCCUGCGAUCGAUCAGGUAGUUGGUGAGGUAACGGCUCACCAAGCCGAUGACCGAUAGCUGUUCUGAGAGGAAGAUCAGCCACACUGGGACUGUGACACGGCCCAGACUCCUACGGGAGGCAGCAGCGAGGAAUAUUGCACAAUGGAGGAAACUCUGAUGCAGUAACGCCGCGUGGGGGAAGAAGACCUUCGGGUUGUAAACCUCUUUUAUGGAGGACGAGUGAGGACGUACUCCAGAAUC
rnacentral:rRNA from 1 species